rnacentral:rRNA from 1 species
GAUGAACGCUGGCGGCGUGCCUAAUACAUGCAAGUCGAGCGAACGGACGAGUAGCUUGCUUCUCUGAUGUUAGCGGCGGACGGGUGAGUAACACGUGGAUAACCUACCUAUAAGACUGGGAUAACUUCGGGAAACCGGAGCUAAUACCGGAUAAUAUUUUGAACCGCAUGGUUCAAAAGUGAAAGACGGUCUUGCUGUCACUUAUAGAUGGAUCCGCGCUGCAUUAGCUAGUUGGUAAGGUAACGGCUUACCAAGGCAACGAUGCAUAGCCGACCUGAGAGGGUGAUCGGCCACACUGGAACUGAGACACGGUCCAGACUCCUACGGGAGGCAGCAGUAGGGAAUCUUCCGCAAUGGGCGAAAGCCUGACGGAGCAACGCCGCGUGAGUGAUGAAGGUCUUCGGAUCGUAAAACUCUGUUAUUAGGGAAGAACAUAUGUGUAAGUAACUGUGCACAUCUUGACGGUACCUAAUCAGAAAGCCACGGCUAACUACGUG